AAGCUCUUCGACAGGAACUGUGACUUCUCCCAGCGGAUGUCGCGUAGAUGAAAGAUCUGCAAUGGCGAACAGUGCAAAUAUCAAGUGCCAAUGUACGUACGCUCGCCUCACAGCUUAAUUAAUUGCGCCCGGCCUAUCGGGAGGCCCCAAGAUACAAUGAAAUUGGCUCGAGUUGCGGUACAAAUGCACUCGACUCGUUAUCGCGCAUUCGUUAGAUACGAAAUAUGGCAAGUACAAUUGGACGCACUUUGCGCGAUAAUGAAAUUCACAUCCCAGCCCAGUUCUGUAAGUUCUCAGGGUUCGGGUUCGGCUACGUCAGGCGGUCGUUCAAUCGCCAUUUUCUAGCUGAUUACUAUUUAACUUAGUGGUGGACUCGUGACUUGAAAUACUGCCUAGUUCUUCUAGCUUAUCACCGAAAUUUAUAAAACUUUGUAGCACCAAAGAUACGUUAUCUGUAUCUAAAGUGCAAAACGGCUUAGGGAUGCGAAUACAGUGAAAUAUUGCAGAGCUUGCUUUCGUAUAGUAGUACUGGACAGAAGAUAUGUAAUAGUUGUCGCUAAUAACUGUUUACAAGUUUAGAAUCUAAUCGUUGGCUUAUGACAAACAGAAGUAAUUGAUACCGUAGAUAUAUCAUUUUUAAAAGUACACAACUAGGUGAAAUUGUCUAGUCUCAGGUUGUGAAGGCUAUGAUUGAUUCCUGCGGACUUCGAUGCAUUUUCCUACUUUACACUUAUAGCUGACAUCUUGUUCUCCUUCUCAUCAGGAACUCACCUCGGCCCACAUGCAGACAAUCAGGGAGGCGCAGGUCAUGAGCAAUGGAUAGUAGGCGGACAUCAGGGUGACGGCCCAUUGUGGCUGUAGAUCCAACUGAAAUGCCAGGAAAUACAUAAGGUUAUACGGUCUGAUUAAA